AACGUUUUCUGUUCUCUUUCACGGCGCAGCAACUAGUAUAAUUUCUCUCUCCUCGCUCUUUUAAAAAUGCCGUUUGUCAAAAAAGGACAACCAUACUGUUGACAAGGUGGACUUCAAAUCAAGUGUUGCCUUUCUUGAUGCGCCCAGGCUGUGUAUGUGUGCGUAAAAGCGUGUAUGUGUGCUCUUUUAGGGAUGUGAAAAGUCGAUUUUAAUCAUGUUAUAUAUCGAUAAACACUACACAGCGGAACGAAAUAGCGAUUAAUUGAAGCUUCAAUAUCUUCGUUAAACAUAAACAUAAUUGAAAUGCUAAUGGAUAAUGAAUAUAUUAUAAUAUAAUCAUAUAAUUCAAUUAUUGCGGAACACCUAUUUUAGGAGGUAUUUAUGUAUUUUAAUUAAAUAUCUGAACUUUCCCUUGGUUCCCUGCUGGGGCGUGACUAUAAAAUUGUGAUCUGAUAACCACAAUAAAGAAUAAAAGCGUUUUUGGUCAUUUUAGGUAUCGUUAAGCCUUUGAAUCUUCGAGCAACACCGGCUUCCGACACAUCGGAAGGGAGGGGCCCAAGCGAUAUCUCACCGUACAAAUCUUUCUGCCAUUUUUCGCGGGGGGAAAGGUGCACACAGUCGCACUUCUCACACACUUACAUACAAAAUCCAAUCUGUAAUGACGACACAAAUACAUAGAAAAUGACACACGUCAAAGACAAAUCUUGCAAACCUCGAUCUCUUUUUGUGUACGGACGAGUGACAAGUGUCACAACACGCACACUAACACAUUUUCGUUGAAGUAUGUAUUGUAUUCUGAGAGAUGAGAAGUCGGAUUUGUCGCUCGACCGAUCCGCAAUUUGUACUGAGCGAGCAAAAUCGAUAAAUCCAACAAUUACAUGAGACUAAAAUAUAAUAAUUGUGUUUGAAUGUAAUUAAACGUAUGAUAUGUAAAAAAAAAUAUUACAUGUGAAAUGUAACACUUUCUUUUUGUAAAUUUGAUGUCCCCGACCUCUUUUUAUAACAAAAAACCGAGCAAACAGGCAUUUUUGUGCAACAGUGUUCACGCGCGCGUCUGGACUCGGUCUAGUGAAAAAUCCAAGUGCAACUAGUUUUAUUACCCGCGCUAGAUUAGAUUGACGCGCUAAUCUUGUACCUCGGCAGAGGGGAAAUAGUGCGAAUGCCGCCUCCCUUCCGUGUUGCUCGAAGGUUAUAGUAAUGGUAGCACGGGUAUAAUUUAUUUCUUAAAAUUUUCAUUCGAGACUUUUCCUCGAGACGAAAAACUUGGCAAGACAAACACAGUAACGUGUUAAACGUGUAUCAACUGAGAAGGUAAAGUAAGCUACAUUUUGCCUUCCUACUCACUGACUCCGUUGGUUGGGCCACCUUGAGAGAAUGGAUGAAGAUCGGAACGUGAAAAGAGCAUACCUGGGCCGCCCAGCAGGAAGACGUCCUAUUGGACGCCCCAGGUAUCGCUGGUGCGACAUGGUGGAGGCGGAUCUGCGCGAACUUCGAGUCAAAAAUUGGCGAGAGGUCGCACGGGACACGGGACCGAGAAAAGUGGCGCUGUCUUGUGUCAGAGGCCAAGUCUCAUUUUGGGUCGCUGAGCCAACGGAGUAAGUAAGUAAGCCAAAUAACGCUAUCUCAUAAACAAAUCAUUUGGAAAUUUUAAUUGGCAGAUAUAGAAACUAAGGUUUAUACUAGAAUGUGGAAUGUUUUUUGAGAUAGCUUUUUGUUUUAUUUUACGAGGCUAUUAAGUGUAUAUAUUAACGCUAAUGUUUUUUAAGCUGUCUGAUCUGAAUUUAACAUCUACUCGUAAUAGAUAAGUACCUACUAUUCUAAUUAAAUAAAUAUUAUAUUAAAUAACGUAUUCUCUUAUUUAAAAUAAUAAGUUUCAACUAAGAUGAAAACUAUUUAUUUACCAACUGAAUGUGGAAGUAACUAAGUACCUAUAUAUUCAUAUUGAACGUUGAGUUGACAGAUAGACAGAGGUUGGGUCGCUCAAGAA